UACGGGGGGGGCAAGCGUUGUUCGGAAUUACUGGGCGUAAAGGGCUCGUAGGUGGCCAACUAAGUCAGACGUGAAAUCCCUCGGCUUAACCGGGGAACUGCGUCUGAUACUGGAUGGCUGGAGUUUGGGAGAGGGAUGCGGAAUUCCAGGUGUAGCGGUGAAAUGCGUAGAUAUCUGGAGGAACACCGGUGGCGAAGGCGGCAUCCUGGACCAAUAUUGACGCUGAGGAGCGAAAGCCAGGGGAGCAAACGGG
rnacentral:rRNA from 1 species